rnacentral:lncRNA from 1 species
UAGUUAAUAUCAUAUCCAUUGCAACAGGAGCAUUUUCUGUUUAUUGUCUUCCACUUUCUGUGUCAUCAGGCUGAGAACACUAAUUGUGCCUACAGAAAAGUCUCCCGAGGGAGAAGUGACAGUCACUGGUUUCUGGGUAAAGUAAACUAAUGACAACCUCAAGGUUACAUGGAAUUCAAGUCUGCCGGAGUCCUCUGGGCUGAACUGAAUAUUUCAGCAUCCUUGAGGGUUAACAUUCUUGCCCCUUGUGUGAAGGUAGUUAAAAUACAGGACAGAUUGGGUUUGGAGAGAUGCACAGUGGACCCGAAUUGUUACUCAUGCACUAACCUUGUGUAUGUGCCAGGGUUCUCCAGAGGAAUGCAACAAAUAACAUUCUAAGAUGGCCCCCAUUCCUGCCUCUGGUGAACAUACCCUAUAUAAUCUCCUUCCUUCUUAAGUGUGGAUGGGACAAUGAAUACAAUGUUAUAAGACAAAUGUGAAAGGGUUUUGUAGAUAUAAUCAAGGUCCCAAAUCAGCUGAUUAUGAGGCAAUUAAAAGAAAGACCAUCCUGGGUGUGCCUGACCUAAUCAGGUGAGUCCUUAACUGUCUAGAUCCUUUCUGAAGUGAUAGAUCUGAAGUGGAGAGGGCCCAUUGAGGAGACCAUGUGUCAAGGGCUUGAAAGCAGCCUCUAGUCACUGAGAAUGCUUCCUAGAUGAUGGCUAGCAAAGAAAAUGGGGACCUCAAUCAUAGAGCCACAGAAAAAUGAAUUCUGCCAUUGACCUGAUGGAACUUGAAGAUGGCACUUUUCCCAGUUGAACCUCCACAUGAAGAUGAAUCUGGCUAGCAAAUUGAUUUCAGCCUUGUGAGACCCUGAGCAGAGAAUCCACUUAACAUGUGCUGGGCUCCUGGCCUACAGAAACUGUGAGAUUAUAAAUUUGUACUGCUCUAAGAUAACUAGGUUUAUGGUCAUUUGUUAUGCAGUGAUAGAAAAUUAAUACAGGCACCAUUUCAAAUAUUGCACCUUUAUAUUGGAAAAAAAGAUAAAGAUCAACAAAGAGCAAAUUGCAAAAAGUAAUGUUUGACAAUGCAGAACAUGACAGAGAUGAAAUGUUCUGGCGAGUUGCCUUUUGUUUUUCUUCAUUCAACUUUGUCACUUCUAAUGAAACUCCAUGGACAAGAGACUGGAUUGGGCAGAAUUUAGGGGAUGCACUUUUAUCUUCCUCCAGAUGGUUGAGCACACAUGCUCAGCCCUUGGGAGGCUAGUGCACCUGUGUGGCCCUUGUCCUGGCCCUGGGACAACCUUGGCCAAUGGAAGUCACAAUCGGCCCUGGCCUGUACACAUUCUGGGGUUCCUUCUGUCAACAAGAAAUCUACUCUAGGUGAGACCAUCCAAGUUAAAAAGAGUUACAGCUUUGACAGAGAGUACCUACAAUACAUGGGACAGAUAUCUGGUUGAAUUGUUUUUCUCUAUGGUGUGAGACAUGGUUAUUUCUUAAAAUCUUAUAACCCAGUAGAAAUUAUUUGGGCGGAUCAGUUUGCUAUGCAGCCCCACUUGUGCUAUGACCAGUUUUGGCAUCAGAGUAGUUAGGGAUAGCAGGAAGAUCAUGUCCCAUCUACAAGUGACUAAAUUAUUUAUAAAUUGAUUUUUAAAAGUGAUCAAAACUGCCGACCUUUUAUUAACCUUAGAGAAGAAGUUUUUGGGAUUAUUUUUUAAUGUCAUAUAUCUGUACAGAACAAUUUUCUUUUCUUUCUUUGGCUUUGAUGGGAUCAAAGGUAGUCGUGAGAAUUUCUAGCUUGCGAGACAGUGGAAAAUGAGAAGAGAAGUGCAUACCUUUUUUGUUGUUGCACUGACAAUGAAAAUGAGAAUCAGAUGGAGGGCUUUUUUUUUUUUUCAAAUUUAAAAAAUGUCCAGUCAUUUGUACAAAUGCUUUAAAAGCCUUGAGAUUUUAGGAAUGUUGUAUUUGCAAUUAUUCUCCUUUAAUAAUUAAUUACUAAUAUGUUUUAAUCACUGAGA